GCCCCAGACUCCUACGGGAGGCAGCAGUGGGGAAUAUUGCACAAUGGGGGAAACCCUGAUGCAGCGACGCCGCGUGAGCGAGGAAGUAUUUCGGUCUGUAAAGCUCUAUCAGCAGGGACGAAAAAAGACGGUACCUGACUAAGAAGCCCCGGCUAACUACGUGCCAGCAGCCGCGGUAAUACGUAGGGGGCAAGCGUUAUCCGGAUUUACUGGGUGUAAAGGGAGCGUAGACGGCAAGGCAAGCCAGAAGUGAAAGGGCAGGGCUCAACCCUGUACAUGCUUUUGGAACUGUGGUGCUAGAGUGCAGGAGAGGUAAGUGGAAUUCCUAGUGUAGCGGUGAAAUGCGUAGAUAUUAGGAGGAACACCAGUGGCGAAGGCGGCCUGCUGGACGGUGACUGACGCUGAGGCUCGAAAGCGCGGGUAUCGAACAGGAUUAGAUACCCGGGUA
rnacentral:rRNA from 1 species